AUUAAUGAAAUUUAUGAC
rnacentral:rRNA from 1 species